CAAAUGAAGAAUUAGCUAUCGCUUAUGUAUUGAUUGGCAAUGGCUUUUAUGAGGAAGCAAUACAACAUUUUUCAACGAUGCUUCAGGAACAGCCAGAGCUCAUCAGUGCAAUUUAUGGGCAAGGGAUAGCAUAUGGAAAGAAAAGGC